rnacentral:rRNA from 1 species
AGAAUGAACGUUGGCGGCGUGGAUUAGGCAUGCAAGUCGCACGGGCCGCAAGGCCAGUGGCGCAAGGGUGAGUAAGGCGACGGCAACCAACCCCGUGAUCGAGUAUAGCCGCGGGAAACCGCGGGUAAUCCUCGGCGACGUCGAAGAGAGGCAUCUCUUUUCGACCAAAGCUCCGGCGUCGCGGGACGGGCCGUCGUGCUAUUAGCUGGUUGGCGGGGUAACGGCCCACCAAGGCUCUGAUGGCUACCGGGCGUGCGAGCGUGGCCCGGCACACUGGGACUGAGACACUGCCCAGACUCCUACGGGAGGCUGCAGUCGAGAAUCUUCGGCAAUGGGCGCAAGCCUGACCGAGCGACGCCGCGUGGAGGACGAAGGCCUUCGGGUUGUAAACUCCUGUCGAGGGGGAAGAAGCCGCAAGGUUGACUGAUCCCUGGAGGAAGCACGGGCUAAGUUCGCGCCAGCAGCCGC